rnacentral:misc_RNA from 1 species
AACGCACAUUGCGCCCCCUGGCAUUCCGGGGGGCAUGCCCGUUCGAGCGUCAUUACACCCAUCAAGCCUGGCUUGGUCUUGGGCGGCGAGGCCUCUCGCGCCCCUAAUCUGUCGGCUGCACGGUUCGAAUCUCAGCGUUGUGGUUUCAUCAAUUCGCUGGCGAGGACGACCGGGCGCGCCGUUAAACCUCUAUCACAGGUUGACCUCGGAUCGGGUAGGGAUACCCGCUGAACUUAA